GUGCUCACUUCAGCAGCACAUAAACUAAAAUUGGAACCAUACAGAGAAGAUUAUCAUGGCUCCUGUGCAAGAAAGAAAAUGAUAAAAUAAAAUCUAAAAUAAAUACU